ACGGGAGGCAGCAGUGGGGAAUAUUGCACAAUGGGCGAAAGCCUGAUGCAGCGACGCCGCGUGAGCGAAGAAGUAUUUCGGUAUGUAAAGCUCUAUCAGCAGGGAAGAAGAAAUGACGGUACCUGACUAAGAAGCCCCGGCUAACUACGUGCCAGCAGCCGCGGUAAUACGUAGGGGGCAAGCGUUAUCCGGAUUUACUGGGUGUAAAGGGAGCGCAGGCGGCAGGGCAAGUCUGAUGUGAAAACCCGGGGCUUAACUUCGGGACUGCAUUGGAAACUGCUCAGCUUGAGUGUCGGAGAGGUAAGUGGAAUUCCUAGUGUAGCGGUGAAAUGCGUAGAUAUUAGGAGGAACACCAGUGGCGAAGGCGGCUUACUGGACGACAACUGACGCUGAGGCUCGAAAGCGUGGGGAGCAAACAGGAUUAGAUACCCUGGUA
rnacentral:rRNA from 2 species